ACCACCUACACACAGAGACGAUCCACAACACCACAACAUUAACCUUGAUGGUCCUGAGGUCAACCAGCCGCAGCCAACAGCCCAAUCCGACAAAAAAAUCAGUCCAGUGGAUUAAAUUAGGUUUUCUUCAGACAGUUGGGGAAUCACUCUGAUCUGGUCAUCUGGAAUUUCUGUUGGCGGCCAUCUAGAGACUCCAUCCACAUCCUGAUUUCCAC